ACAAAUAAUACAUACAACUGUUCCUGGCACUUUCUUACAUGUAAUUGACACGCUUCUGUUGAAUAUUUACUGUACAGAAAUGGUUCAGUGUCAUCGGAAAAAGUCCGUUAGCAUCACAACCGUGAGCUAACUAUAAAGGCCAAUUCACACCGCACAGACAAACGCCAACAAACACCAACAAACAAGUUGGCUCAAGUUGGCUGUUGGAUUUAGAAUUUUAUUAAAAAUAACUGUCAUGUUCACACUGCCCCAACAAACACCAACAAACUUCGAGUCACAAAGAGUCAAGUAACACGGUGUCUAACUUACACCGGACGCGACAGUUGUCCCAUCGCGCCGCAUCCAGUGUAUACAGCGUCACUGAUUAUAAUCUAUAGAACCUCUAUCAGGCCCGGAGUGGCCAUCGGGAGAACCGGGAGAAUUCCCGGUGGGCCGCUCUGCCCCGCUCAUAAAUUGGGCCGGCAGACUCGCCUGCUUUUUUUUUAACAUUUAUUUUAAUUUUUUUACAUACACAGAAUAACGUCUAUGUGUUUAAGUUACUGUGUGGCUGAUAACUAAGCUAAUAUCACUAGAUUUGAAUUUAACUUUAAAAUAUGACGUUUUCUAUUGUCAGAGCGCAUGCGCCAUCUCUCUCUUCCUCUACACAAGCGCGUGUCCCAGGUCGUUGCCAUGGAGACAAACCGAAACCAUUAACGCUGUGGUGUGAGUUAGCGAGAGUGCGCUAAUCGCGGGAAGAAUAAAAUGGAUACUCACAACCGGCGUGACGUCAUAGAAUGUCUCUGAACAGAUUCACGCCCACUUUUGGGGGAAAACAAACCGCCAUACAGCAUCGGAUCGAGGAAGUGGACUAACCUUACAACAUGCCAAAGAGUUGUUGUGUGGUUGGGUGCACCAAUAAUGUUUGUAAAAACCCAAAUUUAGCCCAGGCUACCUGCCAUCAUCAUCCAUAUCUUGCUGUUAUGGAAAUAUCAUGAAUUACGGAUGAUGCUAUCGAAAGCUAAGCCAGGCUAGUUGUAUGGCUGGAUAGAAAAGUGCACUCAGUACUCUAAAUAUAAGGACAUAAUAUAUACAUUUAAAGAUGUUUACUUUCAAAUACGAAGUAAAAUCAUUCACUGGUUUACCUGGGUAGGGUUGCACCAGCCAUUCGUAAGUUCUUACUUAAAUUAGAAUGUUAAGUCCACACUAGAGGCUAGUAACUACUUGCUAGUUUGUAACUAAAUUUGUACUUACUUCGGUUGCACCAGUUGUACGUUAAGCAGGACGUAGCUAGUAGUUCGUAAGCUCUCCGUAAAGUAAUGCGUAGUCGCAUAAAAUGACGUUUACCCUAAAUCAUCCAAUAGAAACCUUCAAAUACACGAGCAGAACUUGUUUAAAUGUUAUUAAUUUUAAUUUAUCCUUCAUUCUAACUUCUUUUGCUUCACCUAUACUAACGGUAAAAACGAGUUUCCAUUAAAAACCAUACAUUAAUAACAUUAGUCUAUACGUAAGCUAAUUUUAUAUGUAAAUAACAUUCAGAAACUGUAAUUGAAAUAAGGAUCAAUAAAUACUGAAAGAAAAAAAAAAACAUAAGAAAUGCCAUUUAUUUAUUAUUUCAUCUGACAUGCGCAAACACGGACCGAAGUGCACAGAGGCGCGCUGUAGAUGGGGUGUUGAAGACGGGCUUCACAUAUUCACAUAUUGUUCUCUCUCUUAAUACGUAGGCUACGUGAGUGUGAAUGUCAGCAGCAUCAUAUAUGCCUAAAGGAUUGGAGGUUGUCAGGUAAAAGAAGAGCAUAUUGAUGCAGUUCACUCAGUCUGCUAUUUUAUUCCAACCGUUACUCCUGACCAGACGCGUCCGUAAAUAUUUAGUUUAAACGUAGAGUUACACUUCAACUAAGUGUAAUGGUGCAACGAAAAAAUAUUUAGUAGUGCGUAAGUUGUAACUUAGUGUCCAUUUACGUCAAAACUAGGCUAGGUUGUAAUUUACGUGCAGCUGGUGCAACCGGCCCGGUGAUUAGAUUAGGUACGAGUAAAUGUCCGGCAAGACACCUCUGGCCACUGGGUGGGGUUGUUACACCAAUUUGACGCUGGGAUAAUGAGUUUUUAAAUUGACCAAAUUAAGUUUGUGGAUGUAUCUUUCACGCUCUAUGUCAGGCAGGGUGUACAUAUAAUUACUUGACAUGUUUAAUCUGAGUGAUUUCUUAAGUUAUUCACGCCUGCCGGCUGUGUACGGACGUUGCUUUGUGCCGCUAUUUUGUAUUGAAGUCUAUGGGAAGUCUAGUUUAUUUUCCCCCAAAAAGGGGCGGUGACGAAAUUGACAGUUACGUUCCCGGAUGUGCCGGUAGUGCGUAUAGUAAAAAAAAAAAAAACAGGUUAAAAAAGAGAAAGACAUUGGAGGAUGACGCGGCCAAAUGUGCCAAACUGACAAACAUUUUUUCAAGAAGACAAACGAGCACACGUGACCUGGCGACUCAAGUCUUCCAUGCUGAUGGCCGUGUAGCAGAGUUGGAGGGGACCUCUUGUCGAAGAACAUCUCCAAGACACUAUGAGCAUCUGACUAGGCUGUUCGUGAAGACAGACAAUCAAGAGAUGUUGUGACAACCUGGACAGAAUUCAGCUCCAGAUCCACCCUCUUCUCACUCACAAGGACUGCUGUCUACUAGCAUAUUAUGUGUUCUCUUCAGAGUUAGGUGCAUGGAGAUAUUACCUGAUUUUUAGAUAUAUAUAUAUAUGAAGAGUUCAGAUGCAAAAGCCUCUAAAUGCCAUCUGAAAUUUUCUUCUAAAAUGAGCAUUUUUCUCAAGCUCCUAUAUUUAUGUUCAGUUAUUUAAUUUUAAUUGCAUAGAAAAGGACCAAUAUAUUGCCAUUAGAGUAAAAUAACUGAACCUAAACAUAGCAGCCUGAUAAAAAUUUUAGAUGGCACUUAGAGGCUUUUGCAUCUGAACUCUUCAUAUAUAUACACACACUAUAUUGCCAAAAGUAUUGGGUCACCCCCUUCUAAUGAACAGGUUUGACUACUUUAGCAAUUUCCAUGAGUACAAAUCUUAAUGUUUAAGCUUAUAAUGAUAUUCUAGGGAAUUGUGUGCUUCUAAUUUUAAAGCAAGAGUUUGGACAGGACCCUUUUCUAUUCUAACAUGACAAUGCCUCUGUGAAUAAGGCAAGGUUCAAAAAGAAAUGAUUGAUUUAGUCAGUAUGGAAGAGCUUGACUGGUCUGCAGAAAGCCAAGUCCUAAUCCAAGCUGAACACGUCUGGUGUGACUUUAAGUGCAGAUCUUGAGCCAAAAACUCUUUACCAAACACCAAUUUGAUUGGUUGAAUAGAGAAGAAUGUGAUUAGUUGAGAAAUUGUACAUAGUUAAUGAUGGAUCUUAAAUAUUUAAAUACAGUGUGUUGUAUGCCUACUAAGACUUGCAUAUUUGUGCAUAAUAUUUUGACCCUGGAUGCUUACAGAAGGAUGAUCUUUCAUUUAUGUGCCAGAAACAUCAUAAGCAUUCAUAAUUUUGUUGGUUCAUGCUGAACUGGUAUUGAUAAAUGUACUCUUUAUAUUAAUAAGUCUGUUUAUAUUGUCGCUGUUUUUAAGUUACAUUGUCUGGAGAGUUUUUCAGUGUCCAAAUGUUGUUUGUAUUCUAUUUAUUAUGAAGGGGCAAAUUAUAAUCUUGAUAAUGAAAACAUUUACAUGUGUGGAGAUUUAAUUUAUUUACAUAAAGUUUGAGUAAAUGGGAAUAUAUUCUACGAAACAUGUUUUAAUUUAUUUAAUUAAAUAUUUUAAUGCUUUAAAAUAUAUUUGCAUUUAUAGAAAUCUAAUAUAUUUACAUGUACAGAAAUGUAAUUUUUUUUUUUUUUGACAAAUAUGUUAACAAAUAUUAGAAAUCAAUAUAUGGACGGCCAAAAUCAAAUAUUUAAAUAUAUUUUUAAUAUAUAUUUCAAAAUAUAUUUACAUGUAUUGUAUAAAAUAUAUUUUCUUCUAUUUGAAUUUAAGAUAUUUAAAUAUCAAAAUAUAUUUAUUAAAAAUAUAUUUCGAUUUAUGUGACUUCUGUAUGGGGUGGUUUAUGUAUUUUUGGUCAAACAGACUUGAGCAAGUUUCCAAACUAUAAUUAUUUAUUUAUAUAUAUUGUGUGAAUCUUUGCAGUGUGUAUGAAAUUAGAAUGAAAAGCUUUUCCCCUCUGCAUUCUGAUAUAUCAUUAAACCCUUAAUAAAGUGCUUUGUUGUUGAGUGAGAAUUUUCUCAAGAAAUUCUGUGAAAGUGUAAGUACAAUAUAGAUAUACUGUAUAUAUAUAUACAAGUGCUGGCUUGCGAAUAACUUUCUCCAAUUAAAUGAGGAUAAGACCGAGAUGAUUUUAUUUGGAAAUAAAGGGUGUGUGGAUGAUGACUGCCUGAGGUUGUUUCCCGGGAAAAAACUGUCUAGCGUGAGGAACCUUGGUGUCAUUUUUGACUCCGAGCUUAAAUUUGACCGGCAAAUCAAUGCUGUCGUUAAGAAUAGUUUCUUCCAUCUUAGAUCAAUAUCUAAAUUGAAAUCUAUCCUUUCUUUUGAUGAUAUGGAGAAGGUUGUUCAUGCCUUUGUGUCAUCCCGUUUGGACUACUGUAAUGUUUUGUAUCUGGGUGUGAGUCAG